rnacentral:rRNA from 1 species
AUUGAACGCUGGCGGAAUGCUUUACACAUGCAAGUCGAACGGCAGCACGGGGCAACCUGGUGGCGAGUGGCGAACGGGUGAGUAAUACAUCGGAACGUGCCCAAUCGUGGGGGAUAACGUAGCGAAAGUUACGCUAAUACCGCAUACGAUCUACGGAUGAAAGCGGGGGAUCGCAAGACCUCGCGCGAGUGGAGCGGCCGAUGUCAGAUUAGGUAGUUGGUGGGGUAAAGGCUCACCAAGCCAACGAUCUGUAGCUGGUCUGAGAGGACGACCAGCCACACUGGAACUGAGACACGGUCCAGACUCCUACGGGAGGCAGCAGUGGGGAAUUUUGGACAAUGGGCGCAAGCCUGAUCCAGCCAUUCCGCGUGCAGGAUGAAGGCCUUCGGGUUGUAAACUGCUUUUGUACGGUAACGAAACGGCAAGCUCUAAUACAGUUUGCUAAUGACGGUACCGUAAGAAUAAGCACCGGCUAACUACGUGCCAGCAGCCGCGGU